rnacentral:rRNA from 1 species
CCUACGGGUGGCAGCAGUGGGGGAUAUUGCACAAUGGGGGGAACCCUGAUGCAGCGACGCCGCGUGGGUGAAGAAGCGCCUCGGCGCGUAAAGCCCUGUCAGCAGGGAAGAAAAUGACGGUACCUGACCAAGAAGCCCCGGCUAACUACGUGCCAGCAGCCGCGGUAAUACGUAGGGGGCAAGCGUUAUCCGGAUUUACUGGGUGUAAAGGGAGCGUAGACGGCAGCGCAAGUCUGGAGUGAAAUGCCGGGGCCCAACCCCGGAACUGCUUUGGAAACUGUGCAGCUGGAGUGCAGGAGAGGUAAGCGGAAUUCCUAGUGUAGCGGUGAAAUGCGUAGAUAUUAGGAGGAACACCAGUGGCGAAGGCGGCUUACUGGACUGUAACUGACGUUGAGGCUCGAAAGCGUGGGGAGCAAACAGGAUUAGAUACCCUAGUAGUC